rnacentral:rRNA from 1 species
UACGUAGGUGGCAAGCGUUGUCCGGAUUUAUUGGGUUUAAAGGGUGCGUAGGCGGCUUUGUAAGUCAGUGGUGAAAUAUGGCAGCUCAACUGUCAAGGUGCCAUUGAUACUGCAGAGCUUGAGUACAGAUGAGGUAGGCGGAAUUGACGGUGUAGCGGUGAAAUGCUUAGAUAUCAGGAGGAACACCGAUGGCGAAGGCAGCUCGCUGGGACGGUACUGACGCUGAGGAGCGAAAGCGUGGGGAGCGAACAGG